AUUGAACGCUGGCGGAAUGCUUUACACAUGCAAGUCGAACGGCAGCACGGGGCAACCUGGUGGCGAGUGGCGAACGGGUGAGUAAUGCAUCGGAACGUGCCCAAUCGUGGGGGAUAACGUAGCGAAAGUUACGCUAAUACCGCAUACGAUCUACGGAUGAAAGCGGGGGAUCGCAAGACCUCGCGCGAAUGGAGCGGCCGAUGUCAGAUUAGGUAGUUGGUGGGGUAAAGGCUCACCAAGCCAACGAUCUGUAGCUGGUCUGAGAGGACGACCAGCCACACUGGAACUGAGACACGGUCCAGACUCCUACGGGAGGCAGCAGUGGGGAAUUUUGGACAAUGGGCGCAAGCCUGAUCCAGCCAUUCCGCGUGCAGGAUGAAGGCCUUUGGGUUGUAAAGCUCUUUCGGCCGGGAAGAAAUCGCAUGGGUUAAUACCCUGUGUGGAUGACGGUACCGGAAUAAGAAGCACCGGCUAACUACGUGCCAGCAGCCGCGGUAAU
rnacentral:rRNA from 1 species